GAGUUUGAUCGUGGCUCAGGAUGAACGCUGGCGGCGUGCCUAACACAUGCAAGUCGAACGGAGUUCUUAAGGAAUGCGGCUUCGGCCAAAUGACUUUUGAACUUAGUGGCGGACGGGUGAGUAACGCGUGAGCAACCUGCCUUUCAGAGGGGGAUAACAUUUGGAAACAGAUGCUAAUACCGCAUAAGAUUACAGUACCGCAUGAUACAGUGAUCAAAGGAGCAAUCCGCUGAAAGAUGGGCUCGCGUCCGAUUAGAUAGUUGGUGAGGUAACGGCUCACCAAGUCGACGAUCGGUAGCCGGACUGAGAGGUUGAACGGCCACAUUGGGACUGAGACACGGCCCAGACUCCUACGGGAGGCAGCAGUGGGGAACAUUGCACAAUGGGCGAAAGCCUGAUGCAGCAACGCCGCGUGAGGGAAGACGGUUUUCGGAUUGUAAACCUCUGUUUCGGUGACGAACAAAUGACGGUAACCGAGUAGGAAGCCACGGGCUAACUACGUGCCAG
rnacentral:rRNA from 1 species